rnacentral:lncRNA from 1 species
AUUUAUUAAAAAAUAAUAGGAUUUUAGUGUAUAAUGAAGCCAUUAAAAAAUUAAAAUUAAAGUUCUUACUCGAAAUCUUUGGAACUUCAUCUUCAACUAUAUUUACUAUAGAUGAAGACAUUGUUUUGGAUCUGAUACUGGAGAAAAAAAUAAACGAGAAGAAACAAUAAGGUAUGACCAAUAGAUUAAGACAUUUUUUUUUCAAAAGAAUUGUGUUUGAGAAAAUAACUAUUCAUUCCAUUGUUUUUAUAACUUGUUUCUGACUAUUUAUAAAACUGUAUCCACC